UACGUAGGGGGCUAGCGUUGUCCGGAUUUAUUGGGCGUAAAGGGCGCGUAGGCGGCCCGCUAAGUCAAAGGUGAAAUCCCUCGGCUCAACUGAGGAACUGCCUUUGAGACUGUCGGGCUUGAGGCCGGGAGGGGGUAGCGGAAUUCCCAGUGUAGCGGUGAAAUGCGUAGAUAUUGGGAGGAACACCAGUGGCGAAGGCGGCUACCUGGACCGGUUCUGACGCUGAUGCGCGAAAGCGUGGGUAGCAAACAGG
rnacentral:rRNA from 1 species